GAGCAAAAGUAAAUGAAUCAAGAAACAGAGUUUAAGGGCUUCUUAGAGAGUACCUUAAUGAGAUCUUCAAGAGAGGGAAGGAAUGUUGAUGCUUUGCUUCGAAAUGAAGAGUAUUUGGGAUGCUAAGAUGGGGGAAAUGGGGAUGGAGGAGGCUUAGGAGAGUAGAGGAGGGAAGGAAAUGAGUUCGGGUCGGUUUCACCGCCGGCCCUAGCUUGAGUUAUAAAGGGGUAGAGUUGCGGGCGGUUGCACCUCUGGCUGGAGCGGUGCAACCGCUUGCAACACGUGACAGCUGGAGGUGCUACCUCCAGCUGGGGCGGUGCCACCGCCUAGUGAACACUUGUUCUGAUCUGAGAAUUUUUCUGUCUUGAGGAGAGUUUUCAUUCCCAGUAAUCAACUUUACUUACGUAAUUACG
rnacentral:lncRNA from 1 species